UGGCUUGUCGGCUGGGAU
rnacentral:misc_RNA from 1 species